UCUGCUGGAUUCAGUGUUCUCUUAAUAUGGGUGAACUAUUGUAUAUAUAUAUUUUUAUAUACAUACGUACAAUAUUGAUAAUAAUAUUAUGACAUAAUGCAAUGUAAUACUAAUAAUACACUAUUAUAAUUGUAUAUUUAUAUAUUACAUGUAAUAAUAUUGCAAUACAGUCGUAUAGUACAAUAUAGUAAUAUAUGAUGCUUAUAUAGUGCUUAUAUUGUGCUAUACUAAUAAUAUAAUAUAUUGUAUGUACAGUAGAGUCUCACUUAUCCAAGCUAAACGGGCCGGCAGAAGUUGGAUAAGCGAAUAUCUUGGAUAAUAAGGAGGGAUUAAGGAAAAGCCUAUUAAACAGCAAAUUAGGUUAUGAUUUUACAACUUAAGCAUCAAAACAUCAUGUUAUACAACAAAUUUGACAGAAAAAGUAGUCCAAUACACAGUAAUGUUAUGUUGUAAUUACUGUAUUUACGAAUUUAGCACCAAAAUAUCAUGAUAUUUUGAAAACAUUGACUACAAAAAUGGCUUGGAUAAUCCAGAGGCUUGGAUAAGUGAGACUCUACUGAAUAUAUAACUUGUAAGCUGCCUUGAGUCCCUUUUGGGGUGAGAAGGGUGGGAUAUAAACGUUGCUAAUAAAUAAUAAAUAAAUAAACUAUAACUCUGAUGCCAAGGUCAAUCAUCCGUAAUAAUAAUAAUAUUAAUAAUAAUCUUAUUUUUGUAUGCCGCCUCCCAUCUCCCCAACGGGGACUCAGCGGCUCACACAGGGGCAAGCCCAAUAAAUCAUAUAAUAUCAUAAAAUCAACAGUUGAGACAUCAAAGAACGCAUUUAAAAACAAAUUAAACAAGUCAUGAUUUAAAAUAGACAUAAUUAAAAUAUUAAACACUCAUCCAAGGCGUUAAAAGGUCCAAUAUAGGACAAACAGUAAAGCCUGCCUAUUCACAUUUGGCAAUGUUAGGUCUCUGUGCCAAGUGUGGUCUAGAUCCAUCAUUUGCUGGAUUCAGUGUUCUCUUAAUAAGGGUGAACUAUAACUCUCUGAUGCCAAGGUCAAUCACCCCAAGUUGUCAGCGUUGGAUCUGUGUGCCAAGUUUGGUCCAGAUCAGUCAUUGGUAGGGUUCAGAGGGCUCAUGGAAUACAGAUGGACUAUAAUUCCCAGAAUUUAAUGUCAAUCGCCCUCAAAGUCUACCAGUGUUCCCAGUUGGCCAUGUUGAAUAUGAUUGCCAAGUCUGGUCCACAUCCGUCAUCAGAUGGGUUCAGCAUUCUCUGAAUACGGGUGAACUAUAACUCCUGGAUGUCAAGGUCAGUCACUCCCAAAUUUGCACACUGGCAGGAUUUGGGGGUGAUUGACCUUGACAUCCAGGAGUUAUAGUUCACCCGUAUUCAGAGAACGCUUUUUUUUCGUGUCAUGAGCGACUUGAGAAACUGCAAGUUGCUUCUGGUGUGAGAAAAUUGGCUGUCUGCAAGGAUGUUGCCCAGGGGAUGCCCGGAGAACGCUGAAGCCAUCUGAUGCAUAUAGAUGCACUCUUAGUGCUGGACUCUCAGAUUCACCAGCCCUAAAAUUACAGCUAAAAGCACAUAGAUGUAAAAACAUACCCAAAGUUACGGACAUCGCAGUCCGUAACUCCCAUCAUCCCCUGAUAUUGUAAUUAGGGAGAGCCUGGGAUUUGCAUCUCAUCUGCUCAGCCAUGGAGAACCACUAGAUGGCAUUCAACAAGUGUGCUUGGUCUUGAAAUAAUUUUUAGACUAUGCGUAGGACAUACAUACAACAUUUUGCAGUUAAACUUUCCCAUCUCCAAGAUAUCCCAUAACGUAGAUGGGAAAUAUUCCAAAAUCUGAAAUCCAAAACACUUUUGGGGUAAGUUUCAGCAUCUUGGGUGACUCUUUUAAAGUUCAGAUAAAAACCUGGAGCCAAAUCACUGCUCCCUUAAAGUUCAGGCUAAAGACCCAGAGCAUAUUAUUAUUAUUAUUUGGACAUUGAUGAUCUGGAUUAUAGGGUCAGUGUAGACUCUUCGAUCUUCAUAUAAUCCAUAUAAUCCAGCUUCUGAAUAAUAAUAAUAAUACGCUUGGGAAGUGUUCGACUUGUGAUUUUGUGACACGAAAUCCAGCAUAUCUAUCUUGUUUGCUGUGUCAUACUAUGUCGUUGUGUCAAUAAUAAUAAUAAUAAUAAUAAUAAUAACUUUAUUUUUAUAUCCCGCCUCCAUCUCCCUGCAGGGACUUGCGGCAGCUAACAUGGGGCGAAGCCCAAAUAUCCACAAUAAACAAAAUAAAGUACAUUUACAAUAAAACAAACAUAAUAGACAUAUAACAUUACAUAGAUUAAACCAGCAUUUUAACAUCAAUAUAAUAAUAAGUAAAACCGCCAGAUAAGAAAGAAUUUGCAGGUUAAAAUAGUGAAAUACAGGGCAGUGGCGCAAAAUACAUGGGUUCAAAUCUGAUAUAGUAAAUAAAGUGCUGUAGUAAAAAGAGGGAAAACUGAGGUAGGAUAAACGAGGAUGGUAAUGAAUAUGAUUUGAACUGGAUUAUAUGAGUCUACACUGCCAUAUAAUACUGUUUUAACCUGGAUUCAGAAACUGGAUUAUAUGGCAGUGUAGAUGAGGCCUGAGUCAAUAGACCAUAUAAUACAAUUCUGAGUGAAAACUAAUGUCAAUUCACUUUAGGUUCAGACUAAAACCCAGAGUGGAAACUUAUUAUUAUUAUUUAUAUUGUACAUAACUACGCAGCCCACUUGCACUUAAUAUGCAUGCCUGGUUUGUUGUUGUUGUUGUUACUGUUGGACAAUUAAACUGGAAUGGCUCUCUCUAUGGGACCAGUAUCCCCGUCCCUCCGUUGUGUGGGAGCCAUGGGAAACUCAGCCUCCCUGCUAAUGAAUUCUCAAUUGGGUCGAUAUAAAUCUGUGAUGGACUCCCUUCUGUUUCUGUUUGCGAAGAGGAAGGAAAUAGGAGUUCAUUCCUGAGAUCUCUCUUGGGCCUGAAAGGAAGUGCCCACUCCGCUGGGAGGAAAAUCAUCAUCAUCACCCUAAUUAAAGCGAGGAAAUUACCCUGGUCACUCAAAAUGGAAAAUUAUGAAACGUAACCAAUAAACUCAAUUUUAGAAUUUAGGGAAAAGGGCAUUUUGGAAUGAAAGAAGGGAGAAAGCUGCUUCUUGGACACCCGAGAUCUGAGCCAUACAGGGCUUUGUAGACCAUGGCCAGCAGCCAAGGGAUCUCUUACAACCCGGUAGCAAUGUGUGCCAACUACCAAGGAACAGGCGCAGACACCGCUUGCAUUGCAAACAGAAGCGGGAACCAGACUCAAUGAAACCCUUCAAUGCCCCCAAAAAACAUAUUUUUAUUUUAAUUAUUUAUUUACUACAUUUAUAUCCCGCCCUUCUCACCCCGAAGGGGACUCAGAGCGGCUUACAAACUAAAUUUACAUACAAUAUAUUAUAUUAUUAGCAUAGCACAAUACUGGCAUUAAAUUACUAUAUUGCACUAUAUCAAUAUAGUGUCAUAUUAUUAGUAACUAGCUGUGCCCGGUCACGCGUUGCAGUGGCGAAGUAUGGUGGUAUGGGAAAUAAAGUAUUGAGGAAUUGGUGGUAGUUAAGGUAAAGGGUAAAUGUUUUCCCCUGACAUUAAGUCCAACUGUGCCUGUCCCCUGGGCUGAGUAGGUUGCUAGGAGACCAAGUGGGCAGAACUUAGCCUUGUAACUGGCAGCAAUUGGAUAAAACCUAUUAUUCCUCUCCCUGUAAUUAGGACUUUAUUUUUCUUUUCUUUUUGUUGUAUCAACCUAGAGCCGUGGAUGAUGGGUUGUGUUGUCAAAUUUCGAGGUUGGGGGGCCUGUAGUUUUGUUGUUUUGUCCGCUGCCCUGAUGCCAUCACUCUUUUAUAUAUAGAGACUAGCUGUGCCCGGCCACGCGUUGCUGUGGCUUAGUCUGGUGGUGUUGGUCAGUUUACAUUAGUUGUAAUGUCUGAUUCUGCUGAGUGCGGUUUAUAUUUUUAUUGUGGUACAAUAGUCCUUUUUUUUGUUUUGCCUGUGUAGGUGUUUAUUAUUGUUGUUGUUGUUGUGGUCAUGAAGGUUGGAUAAGUUAGAUGCGACUGUAUUGUUUUUUGGAGGCCCAGUGUAGCACUGACUGGCCUCUCAGCCUCAGUGCCUGGCUGUUUCUUGCCUGUGAUGGUGUUGAUUCUUAUUGUUGUUGUUGUCAUUGUUAUUAUUGUAAUUGUUUUUUUGGAGACCAAGUGUGAAUGUAGGGAUUGGGGAGGUGGAUGAGUUGUGUUGUCAAAUUUUGUAUUUGUUAUAGUCACAAUGCGUUGUUGUGAGUUGUGAGGUUUUGUGGUGUAGUUGUGUUGUUACAACCGGGAGAAAAGGCUUUUGUGUUGUGUUGUCAAGUUUUGUAUUUCUGGGGCGUUUAGUUGUGUGCCAAGUUUUGUAUUUCUGGGGCGUUUAGUUGUGUUGUUAUAGUCAUGAUGCGUUGUUGUGAGUUUUAUGGGUCCGGAUUGUGGUUUUGUGGUGUGGUUGUGUUGUUACAACCUGGAGGGAAGGCUUUUGCGUUGUGUUGCCAAGUUUCGUAUUUCUGGGGCGUUUAGUUGUGUUGUUAUAGUCACAAUGCGUUGUUGUGAGUUUUGUGGGUCCUGUGUGGUUUUGUGGUGUGGUUGUGUUGUUACAACUGGGAGGCAAGGCUUUUGCAUUGUGUUGCCAAGUUUUGUAUUUCCGGGGCGUUUAGUUGUGUUGUUAUCGCAUGAUGCGUUGUUGUGAGUUUUGUGGGUCCGGAUUGUGGUUUUGUGGUGUGGUUGUGUUGUUGUAACCUGGAGGCAAGCCUUUUGCAUUGUGUUGCCAAAUUUCGUAUUUCUGGGAUGUUUAGUUUUGUUGUUAUAGUCACUGCGCAAACAACUUUAUCAUUUUAUAUAUAUAGAUAGGACAUGUAAUAUAUAAUAUAUAAUUAAUAUAUUGUAUUAUUAGUAUUAUAUCGUAUUACAAUAUAAUACAACAUACAAUUUACUAUUUACUAGGGUGCCCAUUAGGCUUUUAAGCAGAGGCUGGAUGGCCAUCUGUCGAGGGAGCUUUGAAUGUGAUUUUCUGCUUCUUGGCAGGGGGUUGGACUGGAUGGCCCAUGAGGUCUCUUCCAACUCUACUAUUCUAUGUUUCUAUGAUUUGUGUAAUGUGAUCAUCAUACGUAGUACUGAGCCAAAUCCAAAAGUAAAGCUGUUUCAGUAGCUGCUCUUUGAGGGAUGACAUCUCUAAUUUAAUGGCCAUGGCGCAAUGCUAUGCCAUCCUGGGAUUUGUAGUUUGGCACGACAUCAGCAUUCUUUGGCAGAGAAAAGGCUCAAGACCUCGUCAAACUACCUCCCCAUGACUCCAUAGCACUGAACCAAGGAAAUUAAAGUGAAUUCAUUCUACAGCAUAGUGCACCCCAAUGUUUAUUUUUAAAGAAUUUUAAGCUGGCAGCAACUGCAAUGGCCUAAUAAUAAUAAUAAUAAUAAUAAUAAUAAUAAUAAUAAUAAUAAUAAUAAUAAUUCAGUAAUAGCAGAACGUUGGAUAAGUGAAUAUGUUGGAUAAUAAGGAGGGAUUAAGGAAAAGCCUAUUAAACAUCAAAUUAGGUUACGAUUUUACAAAUUAAGCACCAAAACAUCAUGUUAGACAAUAAAUUUGAGAGAAAAAGUAGUUCAAUACGCAAUAAUGCUAUGUAAUAAUUACUGUAUUUACAAAUUUAGCACCAAAAUAUCACGAUGUAUUGAAAACAUUGACUACAAAAAUGCGUUGGAUAAUCCAGAAUGUUGGAUAAGCGAGUGUCGGAUAAGUGUAAUAACUUUUUUUAAUAUCCUGCCUCCAUCUCCCCGUAGGGACUCAGGGUGGCUAACAUGGGGCCAAGCUCAAAUAUCCACAAUACGCAAAAUAACAUAAAAUACAUUUACAAUAAAAUGAACAUAAUAUAAACAUGUAACAUUACAAAGAUCAAACUGGCAUUUUUGAUAACAAUAUAAUAAUGGAUAAGACCGUCAAGUAAAAACAAUACAAUAGGUUAAAAUAGUAAAAAGGCUGGGCAGUGGUGCAAAGAGUGUAUCGGUUUAAAAUCUAACAAUUGAUAAAAGGUGCUUUAGCAGAAGGAGAAAAUUUGAGGUAGGAUAAACGAAGAUAGAAUUACCAAAUAAGGGUUGUAGAAACAUUGAGAUUAAUUCUUGUGAUCAAUUGUUGAAAGCACAUUGGAAGACAAAAAGUGUCCCCCUUUUUUGUUGCUGCGCACUAUAUUUGGCAUCAAAUACUCUUUUUUGCUUGCUAGAUUUUGAAAAUUGAGGGGCGCAUUAGACUCGGGUAGACUCCGAAUCACCUCUUUCCUUGUAGUUUCAAUCCAUUGUUUUCUAUUCUAUCUACUUUCUAGUGUUUCCCCAGAAGUAACAUUACUGUGUUAGAAUCUAUAAUCUUUCUUAAUACCGUGUUUCCCCGAAAAUAAGACAGUGCCUUAUAUUAAUUUUUGCUCCCAAAGAUGCACUAGGUCUUAUUUUCAGGGGAUGUCUUAUUUUUCCAUGAAGAAGAAUUCACAUUUAUUAUUGAACAAAAAAUGAACAUUUUAUAUAUACUGUACAGUAGUUGUCAUCACAAACCAGCAUAACCAGACAAACUCUGAAUCCUAUCAAGAAUUUCUUGUUACUAUCAAUAUUUCCAUGUACAACACUUUAUGGUACGUACAUUUACCGAUCCUACAUGCUCUGGUGUUCUCUUCGGCGGGCAUGCUUCCAAGUAAAAACUUUGCUAGGUCUUACUUUCAGGGGAGGCCUUAUAUUUAGCAAUUCAGCAAAACCUCUACUAGGUCUUAUUUUCUGGGGAUGUCUUAUUUUAGGGGAAACAGGGUAGGGCAUCAGAGCUUGCAAGAUCAUGCGUUUGGUUUAGGAAGCCAUGGAAUUUUAAGAAGGAAGCCAGGGUCAGACAUGUGAUCUAGAGCAGAAUCUAUCAACUGACUAUGUGUUUUUUAAAUGUUGGCAUUGUUAUUGGUUUAAAUAACUUUGGAGGAAGGGAGAAAAAGAUGGUCUACAUGUCAAAGCAAGUUUCUUUGUUGCUGUUAAUGGGCUCCAUCUGCAAACUAUAUAUGUCAUCAUAAUCACAGGCUAUCACUUAUUGCCAAGUAUGAAUGUAGAGUCUUGGCAAUGGGUCCGUAGGUGACUGUAGAGACCUAUUAUGAAUCCGCAUGGUCUUUCUUUGGUAGUGCGGACAUCAAUUUCCAGAUGGAAGGGGGUCCCGACAAGGGUUUGCUUGAAACACCUUCUUCCUCCUGGCCCAUUUCUUUCUUUCGUCCUCAAUUUGUGCUUCUUCAAAAUCCACGGUUUGUCGUUUGCAAAUCAGAUGUUUGUAACUCAGUGACUACCUGUAUAGGACUCAAUCUCCCAAGAGAUAUACCUCGUAUAAUAAUAAUAAUAAAAAAAACUUUAUUUAUACCCCACCACCAUCUCCCCAAUGGGGACUCGGGGCGGCUUACAUGGGGCCAUGCCCAAAACAAUACAAUAUACAAUACGUAUGUAUAUUCCUCUCAUAUAUGUGUGUAUAUACGAGGGUUGAAUGAAAAGUAAUGCUUCCAUCUUCAUUACUUGGGUUUGAAUGGGAAUAUUUUAUUAAUCAAAUGCAGAAAUCAUCCUUAGAAUGUGCUCUUUAACUACCACUAUUCACUUUUCCACAUCAUCACCAGACAAUUGGAUGCAUUUCUGCCAACGAUUAACAAGUUUUUUGAAGCCGUCACGGAAGUAGUCGACACUCUGUUUCCGCAACCAGCGUCUCACUGUUCUCUCAAAGUCUUCAUCAGAAGCGUAAAGAUGUCCCCGCAGAUCUUCUUUUAUUAUCGGGAACAGAUGAAUCUCUCAUGAAUCUCCUUUGGGGUGACACCUUCUGUCAAAAAUCCAAUGACUGCACGUUGCUUAAGUCGCAUUGACUGACCUUCUGUACAGGGUUCCCUACUUCGCACUUUAACAACACAACAGUUCAAUGCUAAGGCUUCUCCAUCUGCGCAGGGUUCCAUACUUUGCACUUUAACAACACAACAGUUCAAUGCUAAGGCUUCCCCAUCUGUGCAGGGUUCCAUACUUUGCACUUGGACAACACAGCCGUUCAAUGCUAAGGCUUCUUGCCAAAUGGAACUGUAGAGGAGAGUCUACUGAACAAGCCAGUACCUGCCACAUACCAGGACUGCCAUCUAUUGAGGAGUUACGAAGGUGGAGGCAUUACUUUUUAUUCAACCCUCGUAUAUAUUUGACUAUUGCUAGGAUACGUAUGUUUACAUUCAACUAUUCUGGAUACAAAACUGUUCUGGUACCAAGCAUUUUGGGGAAAGAAAGCUCAACCUGUGUCUGGUGGCAGGAGAAAGUUCAGUGCCAUCCAGUUGCAAAAUUACUCUAAAACUUUGGCACAGGCUUUGAGGCGAUUCCAUGUUUUGGGGACCUGUCCUUUAGUCCAUUGCAGCAUUCCUUUUGGGAAGCAGGAAGCCCCAUGUUCAAGGCGCACUCUGGGCAUGUUAACAGUGAGGUCAUCCUCAGCUUCCUACUGUCUUUUGUCGCGGAGAAGGCGGGGGAAGCCCCCGGUACUUGUUCACUGCAUUCCUCUCUCCUGGUGUCAUCAGCAUCAUCAUCACCAUUCUCCUUAUCCUCCUUCCCAGCCAGGAAAGCCAGGGUUUCACUGUGCCAAAACCAACAGCGGCCUGGAAGAAAGGCAUCGCCGUCUCGCUUGGGCUUUCCGCGGAGACUUGUGUGAUUCACGAGCCCUUAGAGAUGAAAGGGAGACAUUCCUGGUCUGAGACCUGGGUCUUAUCGCCGCGGUCCCAUGCGCCUGGCCUCCUGCCUGCCUUACUGCCAGUGGGGCGGCAAAGGGAAAAGUACAAGGGGCUCCCUUGGGAGCACAAAGCCUGGCUCUUGCCGCAGGAAACGCUAGAAAAGCACCCCCUCCGCCUCUAUCUAAUCUUGAACAUCUACUAAGCCCUUCUGGGAGCAACCAGCUAUGCAAUUAUAUAAAUGCGCUUUAUAACCUAAGGCUUUAAUGUCAUUCCGUCCUGCAUCUGAAGAAGCGGGUUUGUAUAGCCCAGGAUACUCUGGAUCAGGGGUCCUCAAACUUUUAAAGCAAAGGGCCGGUCUACAAUCCUUCAGACUGUUGAGGGGCCAAAUUAUCAUUUGAAAAAAAAUACAAACAAAUUCCUAUGCACACGGCACAUGUCUUAUUUGUAGUGCAAAACAACAACAACAACAAUAAAAGAACAAUACAAUAUUUAAAAAUGAAAACAAUCUUAACCAACAUAAACCUAUCAGGAUUUCAAUGGAAAGUAUGGGCCUGCUACUGGCCAAUGAGAUAGUCAAGUUAAUUAGGAUUGUUGUUUGUUGUUGUUGUGUGCCUUCAAGUCAUUUCAGAAUUUGGGUGAGCCUAAGUCUAAAAUUAUUUAUUUACUUACUUACUAAAUUUAUUUACUACAUUUAUAUCCCACCCUUCUUACCCCGAAGGGGACUCAGAGCAGCUGUAUGUACAUACAAUGUAUAUUAUUAGCAUAGCACAAUAUUAGCAUUAAACAUUACUAUAUUGAACUAUACCACUAUACUGUAAUACUAUAUGUAAUAUAUAACAUAUAAUUAAUAUUAUAUGGUAUUAUUAGUAGUAUUAUAAUGUAUAACAUGAUAAUAGUUUUAUCAAUAUUAUAUGUAUAUACAAUAUAUUAUAUUAUUAAAACUGAUAUAAAAAUAUAUUAUAAAACUGAGGGUGGGGGCCAGGUAAAUGACCUUGGAGGGCCUUAGUUUGGGGACCCCUGCUCUGGAUCUUUGGGCUGGACUAGGAAUGGUAUCCCUGCAAAGUUAAUAGAUUUGGCACUGGGUGACUCAGAGCAAGUCACACUCUCUUGGUGCCAGAAAACCUCAGGCUAAGUUUGCUUUUGGGUCUCUGUGAGUAGGAAACUACACGAAGGAACAUAACAUCAAAUUACAAUACAUUUAGGAGGGAUCCCAAUUUAAUCAGGAUUUCAAUGGAGGAAUCUGCACUGAAGAUCUCCCUAACAAAAGGUCCUCCAACACAUUUUAAAACCUCCACCAGAAACUUCUUGCUAAUUUUUAGCUGAAAAUUUGUUCCUUGUCAUUCGGGUUUUACCCACUGGAACAUUCGAAAAUAAGCUCCCUUCCUCCUCUUUGGACUUCAGAUGGCUAUCAUAUCCUUGACCACCUUUCUCCCCUCCAGGCCAAGCAGAUGGACUCAGCUCUUUCAACCACUUUGCAGAGUUUCAAAAUUCUCUUUGCUCUUUGGAGCACCUUUUCCAGCUGGUCAGGAUCCCUUUUAAACUGUGGGGCCUGGAAGAAAGCCUUGCCCAAACACAGCCAGCCCAGGGGAAAACGGACUCUUAAAACCCAUGAGACACAGGGAGAGAUGGUAAAGGAUUAUAUUUAAACCAUAUGGUCUCUUUGUUUUGUUUGCAUCAGAAACAACCCUUGUCCAUGGACUGUUAUAACAUACGUUGUUGUCAACAUAAAAAGGUCACUCAAACUUUCUUAAGUUUAACAAGGCAAAUUAUUAUUAUUGAUUUUUUCAAUAUUUUAAUUAAUAUUUCUGACAAUAACAUUAUUAAUAUUAUUGAUGUUCAAUGUGUUGUCGAAGGCUUUCAUGGCCAGGAUCACAAGGUUGUUGUAUGUUUUCCGGGCUGUAUGGCCAUGUUCCAGAAGUAUUCUCUCCUGACGUUUCGCCCACAUCUAUAGCAGGCAUCCUCAGAGGUUGUGAGGUAUGGAGAAACUAAGCAAGGAAGGUUUAUACAGUAGAGUCUCACUUAUCCAACGUAAACGGGCCGGCAUAACGUUGGAUAAGCAAAUAUGUUGGAUAAUAAGGAGAGAUUAAGGAAAAGCCUAUUAAACAUCAAAUUAAGUUAUGAUUUUACAAAGGAAGCACCAAAACAUCAUGUUAUACAACAAAUUUGACAGAAAAAGUAGUUCAAUACACAGUAAUGCUAUGUAGUAAUUACUGUAUUUACAAAUUUAGCACCAAAAUAUCACGAUGUAUUAAAAACAUUGACUACAAAAAUGUGUUGGAUAAUCCAGAACGUUGGAUAAACGAGUGUUGGAUAAGUGAGACUCUACUGUAUAUAUAUCUGUGGAAAGUCCAGGGUGAGAGAUGAACUCUUGUUGGAGGCCAGUGUGAAUGUUGUAAUUAAUCACCUUGAUUAGCAUUGAAUAGCUUCAUCUCCUGGCUUCUUCCUACCAGGGGGCAUCCUUUGUUCAGAGUCGUUAGUUGCCCCUGGUUGAUUCAUGUCUGGAACUCCUCUGUUUUCAGAGUGUGGGUUCUUAUUUACUGUUCUGAUUUUUGAGUUUUUUUUAAAUACUGGUAGAUAUAUAUAUAUAUAUAUAUAUAAACCUUCCUUGCUUAGUUUCUCCAUACCUCAUAACCUCUGAGGAUGCCUGCCAUAGAUGUGGGCGAAACGUCAGGAGAGAAUACUUCUGGAACAUGGCCAUACAGCCCAGAAAACAUACAACAACCCCAUUAUUGAUGUUGUUGAGCAUCUUCAAGUCAUUCCUGGUUUGUGGCAACUCUAAGCUAAAUUUACCUUGGGUUUUUCUCAGCAAGGAAAGUCUCUUUUAAGAGAGAGAAAACGAGAUAAAAAUAAAUAUAAUGACACUAAAAAGAUUUGUUCAGAGGAGGUUGCCUUUGCAAAGGCUGAGAGAGUGUGACUUGCCCGGAGUCAACCAAUGAGUUUCCAUGGCCAAGUGGGAAUUCGAACACUAGAUUCCAGCAUCAAUGCACAAACCAGUACAUCAUGAUGGCUCUCAUUAUUCAUAAUAUAAAAGAAUGACUUCAAAUUUAGUGCCUGAUUAAUGAAUAUAUUAUAUUAAAUAUUUAAAAAACACAUGAUUUUUAAACUUAACUUUUUCAUAUGGUUGAAAGAUGGGGAAGAGAAAAAUAAAAGACCUCUGCCACCAUUGUGUCCCUGAAUCAGAGACAUUCCAGAAGCACCGGCGAACAUGACUCAUCUUUCAACAAAUAACCAAAUUGCUGCAAUAAAAGAGACAGAUCUAACCAAUCUGCAUUUUUUUGUUCUUUAUGAUGGUAGAUAAGCUGGGGCCACUGUGCAAACGGAGCGACCUGGAGAUUCUAUCCUUAUUGCUCCUUUUUUCCAAUCUCUGUGUAACUUGAUGGUUUAAAAUAUUAACAAAAUAGAUGAGGCCGUUGGGCCAGAUGCCAGCUCAUGUGGUCCGACUCGCUUGACGGGAAAAUAAUAUAGAAAAAUUAAUGUUUCCUGAGAAAGGUAUGUCUUUCCAUACAGUUCAGCCACCAGCAACUGAAAGUAUUUCCUGAGGCUGAACAAACAGAGAUUAGGAAGGCAAGAGCAUCAUGGGGGAAGAAACCGGCAAAAAGACACGUGUGUAAAUAUGCUCAUGUGAUGUUCCACAUAGGUUUAACAUCUGGGUUUAGGAGGCCUCCUUUUCUGACCAUUUUCCUGGUCAAAUAAUAAUGUGUUGUUGAAGAUUUCAUGGCUGGAAUCGCUGGGUUGCUGUGAGUUUUCCAGGCUGUAUGGCCAUGUUCCAGAAGCAUUCUCUCCUGAUGUUUUGCCCGCAUCUAUGGCAGGCAUCCUCUGAGGUGAUUCAAUGCUAAUCAAGGUGGCAGACUGCUGACUUGAAGGCUGGGUUGCUGACCUGAAGGUUGCCGGUUUGAAUCCAACCUGGAGAGAGUGCUGAUGAGCUUGCUGUUAGCUCCAGCUCCAUGUGGGGACAUGAAAGAAGCCUCCCACAAUGAUGGUAAAACAUCAAAACAUCUGGGCAUCCCCUGGACAACAUCCUUGCAAUUCUCUUACACCAGAAGCAACUUGCAGUUUCUCUAGUUGCUCCUGAGACGGAAAAAAAAAAGCGGACCAAUUGCAAAAUUCACACUUGCCUCAAGUAAUAAAAAAAACAACACAGAGAAAACAUGGGAAUUCCAGACAUGAAUCAAUCAGGGCCAGCUAACACCUCCCAACAAAGGAUGCCCCCAGGCAGGAAGCAGCCAAGCUUUGAAGCUGCAAGGCAAUUCAAUGCCAACCAACAGACAACAGUUCUUUCUCCCACCCUGGACAUUAUUCCACAGGGAUAUAUAUAAACCCCAUGUGCCUAGUUUCCAGCAGACCUCACAACCUCUGAGGAUACCUGCCAUAGAUGUGGGUGAAGUGUCAGGAGAGAAUGCUUCUGGAACAUGGCUAGACAGCCCAGAAAACUCACAGCAACCUAGUGUAUAUAUAUAUAGUUUGUGUAUACAUAUACAUAAAAGAAAUAUGGCUCUAUUAUAUAUGUAUAUCAAUAAAUAUACGUACAUAUAUAAUGUAAAUAAAUGAAUGUAUAACUGUGUGUGUAUAGUUUGUGUAUACAUAAACAAGAUAUGUAUAUAUAAACACAGAUAUAUGUGUUUAUACUAUAUAUAUAGUGUGUACAUACACUUAUAAAUAUAAAAUAUGUCUCUAUUAUAUAUGUAUAUCAAUAUUAUAUUUAUAUAUAUAUAAAUGGACGUAUAGGUCAUAUAUGUCAGUAAAAAGGAUAUGUGUGUAUAUAUACUCACCAGUAGGACCUAAGUUUGCCCAUGCCUGUACUACACACAGUUCAAUAUUUUAUAUAUAUAUGCAGGUAUGUUAUUUAUUUAUUUAUUUAUUUUAUUACAUUUAUAUCCUGCUCUUCUCACCCCAAAGAGGACUCAGAGUGGCUUACAAAUCAAAUGUACAUACAAUAUAUUAUUAGCAUAGCACAAUAUAAGCAUUAAAUUACUAUAUUGUACUAUAUCAUUAUAUGGUAAUAUUAUUAGUAAUAUUACAUUUAAUAUAUAAUUAAUAUUAUUGCAUUGUAUUAUUAUUAGUAUAAUAUUGUAUUACAUUAUAAUAUUAUCAAUAUUAUAUGUAUAUACAUUAUAUUAUUUAUUUAGAAAUUAUUUAUUUAUUUAUUUUAUUUGCUACAUUUAUAUGCCGCCCUUCUCACCCCGAAUGGUACUCAGAGCGGUUUACAAAUUAAAUUUACAUACAAUAUUAUAUUAUUAGGAUAGUACAAUACUGUUAAUAAAUUACUAUAUUUCACUAUAUCAAUAUAUUGUAAUAUUAUUAGUAAUAUUACAUGUAAAAUAUAAUAUAUAAUUAAUAUUAUAUAUAAAAUAUAUAUUGUGUAUUAUA